rnacentral:rRNA from 1 species
GACGAACGCUGGCGGCGUGCUUAACACAUGCAAGUCGAACGGAAAGGCCCAGCUUGCUGGGUACUCGAGUGGCGAACGGGGGAGUAACACGUGGGUGAUCUGCCCUGGACUCUGGGAUAAGCCUGGGAAACUGGGUCUAAUACCGGAUAUGACCUUACAUCGCAUGGUGUUUGGUGGAAAGCUUUUGCGGUUCAGGAUGGGCCCGCGGCCUAUCAGCUUGUUGGUGGGGGAAUGGCCUACCAAGGCGACGACGGGUAGCCGACCUGAGAGGGUGAUCGGCCACACUGGGACUGAGGCACGGCCCAGACUCCUACGGGAGGCAGCAGUGGGGAAUAUUGCACAAUGGGCGCAAGCCUGAUGCAGCGACGCCGCGUGCGGGAUGACGGCCUUCGGGUUGUAAACCUCUUUCGCCAGGGACGAAGCGUGAGUGACGGUACCUGGAGAAGAAGCACCGGCCAACUACGUG